rnacentral:lncRNA from 1 species
GUUAUAAUAAUGCUUUGAUACAAACCUUAUUUACAAAAUACACAAAUAUCCAGACAAUGACAGGAAAUAUAAGUGAUAAAUGUCUGCCAGUUAAUUCUGAUAGUAUACUAGAAAUUUUUCCAAGUAAAAAUUCUGAUAGAACAUUGGCCUCAGUUACAGUUCUGAAUGAAAUAAUAGUUGGCAUCAGUUACAAAUCUGAUAGUAUAAUAGAAAUUGGCCUCAGUCAGAAUUCUGAUACCAAUAUAGAAAUUUUCCUCGGUGAAAUUGAACCACCAAUCAUACGUGCCAGGAACACACAACAAGGAAAGAAGCGCUGUCUGUCCAACAGUCCCAAGCCAAAUAUCUAACCACGAAAUCGCAAUGGAUAUCAUCAGAACUUACUAAAGGGGGUAAUAUCCAAUUCCUCAAUAUGAUCAACCCUAAACAAUAUAUUAAGGGUAAUACUGCAUUCUAUAGACCAUCAAUACUUUUUUUUUAUAACAAAAUCCAUACUAUAAAUUAUUACACUUUUAGUCAAAUUGUUUGACUAUAAUUUGUACAAAAUCAUGACUUGUACACACCAUAUACAACAAACAUAUAAAUCUCGACCAAUUUUGAAUCCUCUAAAUAUACUCUACUACUUGUCGUUGUGGUAUAUUAAUAGUGUUAAUGAACAUAGCACUCAAAUUCGGUUCUAUCUCAUUUAAGCAGUGUUGGGGACUUUUAUAGAUGCUUAUGCGGCAUGGGUUUUGCUCAUUGUUGAAGGCCUACGGUGACCUAUAGUUGUUAAUUUCUGUGUCCUUUAGUCUCUUGUGGCGAGUUGUCUCAUUAGCAAUCAUACCACAUCUUCUUUUUUUAUAUUGAACUAUGACUGUUAUAAUCAUUUAUCAGAACAUUUCUACAACAAUGAUGUAUAACAUUUUAUAUUUUUUUAUUUUAAUGCUCAAUGUGUUUUGUAAGGCCAAAUAAAAAUAUAUGUGUGGUUCCAGUAACCCUACCGUCCCUACUUUUUCGGCUUAAAAAUAGCCUACCCUAAAGAUUUUAUUGUCAUUUUUUCAUUAAGCACUGUUAAAGUCAGAAUGUUGCUCCCAUAGAGUCAAUGUAAAAAAAAAAAAAAAAAAAAAAAAAAAUCCCUACCUACCUACCC